GCAUUCAGCUGUAGCACGUUGAAAACACCGAUUCUCCUCCGAUCACCGAAGUUAAGAAACGUUGAGCCCGGUUAGUACUUGCGUGGGUAACCGGUUGGGAAUACCGGGCAUUGAAGAAU
rnacentral:rRNA from 1 species